GGUGAUGAGAUCCAAGCGACGAGGUCUGCAGUGUGGUGGCGAGCAGGGAAUACCGGGACCUUACGAUGCGCUUACAGCUCCAACGUCUCCUAUAUUUACGUGGCCUGGUAUCGGCAGCGUCCCGGUGGGCCCCUGCAGUACUUGCUGCAGAGCAAGGGCCGGGGAGGCUCCUACAGCCACACAGCCCCUUUUGCCCACAAGAGGUUUUCCUGCCAGGCUGACAAGAGCUCCGGGACACUGACCAUCACUGGGCUGGAGCUGGGGGACAGUGCGCUCUACUACUGCACCCUGCAGGGACCACAGUGA